AUUGAACGCUGGCGGCAGGCCUAACACAUGCAAGUCGAGCGGAUGAGGAAAGCUUGCUUUUCGAUUCAGCGGCGGACGGGUGAGUAAUGCCUAGGAAUCUGCCUGUUAGUGGGGGAUAACUCGGGGAAACUCGGGCUAAUACCGCAUACGUCCUACGGGAGAAAGUGGGGGAUCUUCGGACCUCACGCUAACAGAUGAGCCUAGGUCGGAUUGGCUAGUAGGUGAGGUAAUGGCUCACCUAGGCGACGAUCCGUAACUGGUCUGAGAGGAUGAUCAGUCACACUGGAACUGAGACACGGUCCAGACUCCUACGGGAGGCGGCAGUGGGGAAUAUUGGACAAUGGGCGAAAGCCUGAUCCAGCCAUGCCGCGUGUGUGAAGAAGGUCUUCGGAUUGUAAAGCACUUUAAGUUGGGAGGAAGGGUAUUCACCUAAUACGUGGGUACUUUGACGUUACCAACAGAAUAAGCACCGGCUAACUCUGUGCCAGCAGCCGCGGUAAAAC
rnacentral:rRNA from 1 species